AAGAAGAAGAUAAGGGCAUUGACGUGUUGCGUUGGGAUGAUGGUGCUCAGCCACUGGACACCAGCACGAGAUGCCCAGUCAAUUAAAAGUUCCUUCAUCUCAAUAAUCAAAUGGAGAGGGUACUGCAGACCCUACAGGGGCUCUCUUCAUCGCACCACUGCGUCUGGUAGCCAGCAUCAUCCCACUACCUGACACUGCCCAACUGGACUUUCGAUGACGCUUAUGAGUGACGGGGGCCAAUUCAUUUUUUUCCUUGAAAGUCACUGGCAUCCAGUUUUGCUUUGGAUCUCUUUGGAGUUUUGUUAUAGACAAAAAUAAAUUUCCACAAAAGACUGUCAGACAGGUACAACAUAAAGCGUCUCACCAUUUCUAAUGUGGCUACAUCACUUCUCCUCAACAUCUUCUCCUCUCCCUUUGCAUCUACGCCUGAGGUUUUCAGUGUGGGAGUGCACGCAAUACCUUCGGAUUGAGUUUCCAAUACAUGGACAUGGCUGCUCUCCUCACCGCCUGUUCAAACUUACUCUCUGAGGACAACCUUCUCACUUCCUGUGCAUUCUCUGGUGUGAUGCCUGCCAGUAGAGAAGUAUAGAAGGAUGCAUUGG